UCCGAAUUGGUGUAGUGGCUAACAUUUGACGCUCUCAUCUUCAUCACAUAACAUGUGAUGCGGUGAAGUCCCGUCAAGCCCGGGGUUCGAUUCCCCGAUUCGGAG